GGAUUAUGAGGAUGAUGAAGAGCUAGAAGACUUCCAUGUUACUAGUUCACCAAGUCUCCGCAUAAGCAACAGGAGAUGGGGCAAUAAUGGUUACGUCAGGGCAGGAAGGCAAGAAGCAAGUCCUGCUCAUCCACCAAGCUCCCAUGACUCGAGCGCCGGAUCAUCACGCCAGACUACGAAGAAUGAGACUGCUGUUUCUAAAGUAACUGUUGGUCGGCGUGCAAAGAGGACACUCAAGCG
rnacentral:misc_RNA from 1 species